rnacentral:lncRNA from 1 species
AUCAGUCAAGGAGCUACUGUACCACAGAAAGUUUCAAUCAGGUGGGCAUUACUUUUACUAUACGUAUAUAGAGAUCCCCUGCGUGUCGUAGGCCUCUUAUACGAAUGAAUGCAUGAGAUGAUUUAACUGUUAAUUUCAGUUUCAUAUAUAUAUCAAAUGAGUUUAAAUGUUACGUUCAAGCAAGUUAUUUCAUGACAAAAUCUUUGAGUUAAAGUUAUUUCAAGUAUUGUCUUGCCAUAAAAUGUUUAAAUUUUAGUAUGAUAUCUAUCUGCUUUGGCUUUGCCAAUGAUGCAAUCGAAUUCGGGUCCUGAGCAGUUGAUAGCUAUCCUGCCAGGACUAGUGUACACCAGUGACCGUGAGUCAUCUAGCGGGUUGGCCGGUCAAGUGACCGUGAGAGGUGGCCACCUCUCCGGCACACAGUUCCAGAUAUGAUAGAUUACAAAAGAACUUAGUUUGCAGACGAACUUUAAGAAUCACAAAUGAAUUUAGUAAGCUUGGGCCUUUUUAGCGAAAAACUCCCUUGCUGUACUGUUUAUGAUGGCAUGACAAUUUACAGUUUUGAAGCAUGUAUUUUUAUACCUAGGCAUACGUGCCCACUGAGUGCUUUUGUACUCAGCCCUGCAUAUGUUUUCUAAAUGUGCAGGUUGAGCUGAUGUGAUGAUGGUGCUGAAAUGAGCGGAGUCUCCAGGGUUGUUAAUAAAUAGUUAACCUGUCUAGAAUAUGUCUUCAUACAUAUGUCUAGCUACUUUCCGCUGCAAGAUGUUGUUGAUGUUAUAGUAUGUUAUGUCAUACUUUGAGUCUUAAGAGAAUGGUUUCAU